rnacentral:rRNA from 1 species
CAAUAGCGUAUACUAAUGUUGUUGCAGUUAAAAAGCUCGUAGUUGAACUUCUGGUAGGAGUGUCCCGGCCUUUUUGUUUUUACAAAUUGUAUGCUGUGUGACAUCUCUGGCCAUCCUUCUUCCUUGUUUAAAGAAGAUCUUUCACUGUAAAAAAAUUAGGGUGUUCAAAGCAAAAGUUUCUUUGGAAUAUAUUAGUAUGGGAUGAUAAGAUAGGCUCUAGAUGCUAUUUUGUUGGUUUGCACAUUUAGAGAAUGAUUAACAGGGACAGUUGGGGGUAUUCGUAUUUACAUGUCAGAGGUGAAAUUCUUGGAUUUUGGAAAGACGAACUACUGCGAAAGCAUUUACCAAGGAUGUUUUCAUUAA